AACUCCUUUAGCGUUAUAUUACCGGAACCAAUUGAACCGGCACCGGAGAGAAACUAAAAAAACCGUUCGCCGGAGAGAAGAGAGGGCGUUAAUCGGAGAAGCCCUCUCAAUCUCCGAUCGCAAAGAAACCCCUAAAAUUGCUAUUGAUUUCAUCAUCGCAAUCGUUGAAUCAUAUGGUUAACAUAUUUUCAAUUUUUGAUGCGCCGAUCCAAUGCCCGUAAAAUAGAUCGUGUUGAUAACAAGAGUAAGACAAUGGAAUCGGCUAAUUUGCA
rnacentral:misc_RNA from 1 species